UGGUGGGGUGACUUGUCUGCUUAAUUGCGAUAACGAACGAGACCUUCACCUACUAAAUAGCUACACGAACCCCAGGUUCGUGGCCAGCUUCUUAGAGGGACUAUGUAAGUUAAUUACAUGGAAGCGGGAGGCAAUAACA
rnacentral:rRNA from 1 species